CCAGAGAGCCAGGAGCUCUCUCAGCCAGGAUGUGGGAAGAAGCCUGAUUGCAAGUACAGCUCAUGAUAGCUCUGGAGGCAUGAGCAAUGAUGCUAAGUUAUAGCCAGCAUGAGAAACAAGGACAGCAAAGCAUCUCUGUGGAAACUGGUUUGGCAAGGGAGCUAAUGGUCUUCCACACCAUGCUGAAGGGUUGGAAAUGAUUUCUUCUAAGUGUCUACUCACUUGAGCUUCUAUACAAAUCAUGACUGUCGUGAAGCUGGAUUUAGGUUGUCCUUCUAUUUCACCACCUGAAACAGUAGAUAGGUGAGCCUGGGGAUUUUGGAAGCUGAACACGUCCAUGUAUCUCAAGACUGCAGGAACACUUUGAUGUGAACUUGGAGAAAAGCAUGAAACCAUGUACAGAGCAGCCUGAAGAGCAGGGUGUUACCCUGGGAGCGGGAGCCUCCAGAAAGGAGUCUUUAUUUCCUUCCUUCUGGCCCCAGACUCCACCAGGGAAGGGGCAGACGAACCCAUGACUCCAAGUGCCUGGAGAAGUCCCAUAAGCACCAGGUGAUGCACUGGACAGGCCUGGGGAGAUGUCCAUCGCUCCUGUUGAAGCUCAUCCAGUAGCUAGGAAGGACUGCAAGAAUCCAAGCGCCUUGCAUUCAUCUGAUUCAACAGAAAAGCAAAAUAAAAAAAUAGACA